AACGAACGCUGGCGGCAUGCCUAACACAUGCAAGUCGAACGAGAUCUUCGGGUCUAGUGGCGCACGGGUGCGUAACGCGUGGGAAUCUGCCCUUUGGUUCGGAAUAACAGUGGGAAACGACUGCUAAUACCGGAUGAUGACGAGAGUCCAAAGAUUUAUCGCCAGAGGAUGAGCCCGCGUAGGAUUAGCUAGUUGGUGUGGUAAAGGCGCACCAAGGCGACGAUCCUUAGCUGGUCUGAGAGGAUGAUCAGCCACACUGGGACUGAGACACGGCCCAGACUCCUACGGGAGGCAGCAGUGGGGAAUAUUGGACAAUGGGCGAAAGCCUGAUCCAGCAAUGCCGCGUGAGUGAUGAAGGCCUUAGGGUUGUAAAGCUCUUUUACCCGGGAUGAUAAUGACAGUACCGGGAGAAUAAGCUCCGGCUAACUCCGUGCCAGCCGCCGCAGUAAUAC
rnacentral:rRNA from 1 species